ACGGUCUUUAUAAGGAUACGGAGCAUCCGGCUUUGAGCACGGGGUUCUUUUCCUUCCCAUUACUACACUAUUCUGACAAACUCUGCGCAUUUCGGCCAUGGAAACCACUAUAGUCAGCUCUCAGCUUCAACUCUUCACCACCAAUUACUUCAAGAUUUCAGGAAACGAUAUUAUGCAUAGGGAGAAAUUUUGUCAUCGACCAAUUCCUGGAUUAUUUCCACUCAAGAUAAAUUGUUCAAGAUUCGGUGGAAAGCCCUUAUUGUUGUUAGAUAGGCAAAAUAUCAGACCUUCUUAUGAUAUUGUUUCUAAGCUGAGAGGAAGAUGUUUUGAAAUUAAAGCUGCAUCUACUGAGUCUUUAGGUUAUGAACAAUUCCUGCCUGAACCUAAUGCUGGCGAAGUGGUUCUUCCCUUGCAUGAUUCUGGUGGCAAUGAUUCGUUGCGACCAAGGCCGAAAGCUUAUAAGAAUAGAUUUUUGAACUUUGUUCACCUCAGUUCAGUCCUUAAUACUGCUGCUGAAUCUUUCUUUAAAAGUGAGAUACGAAGGAGGUUAUUUGUGACUGCCAUCCUUAUUGUGAUAAGUCGUGUUGGCUACUUCAUUCCUCUACCUGGUUUUGAUCGGCGGUUGAUGCCCCAGGACUAUCUUAGCUUUGUCUCAGGCUCAGUUGAUGAACUAGGUGACAGCACACCGGAACUUAAGCUUUCUUUGUUCCAAUUGGGUAUCAGUCCUCAAAUUGCAGCAUCAAUUCUCAUGCAGGUUCUUUGCCAUGUGGUUCCUUCUUUGGUGAAGUUGCGAAAAGAAGGCUUGGAUGGUCACGAGAAGAUUAAGAGUUAUAUAUGGUGGAUUUCGCUUGGGUUUGCCAUAGUGGAGGCUCUGGUUCUUUCUUGUUAUUCGCUCUCAUAUUCCAUUUAUGCUGCCAGUUACAGGGUAAAGCACGUGAUGUUGACAUCUUCCCUUUUGGUGUGUGGUGCAAUGACUAUGACAUGGAUUUGUGACAAAAUAACAGAUGCUGGAUUUGGUAUUGCCUGGAAUUCUCAUCAAGCAAUAAAGUCAGUCUACCUAAAACCUGUCAAGCUUAGGUUUUCAUUAGAAACAGGUCAAGGCUCGUCAUUGAUUAUCUGUGUGGGGAUUUUGACUGGCUACACAGAUACAUUGUCCAAAAUGCUUACUCAACUAUCAGGAACUGCUGUUAGCUGGUGGCCAUAUGUACUAGCUGUUUUUGGUGUUUUUACUGUAGUAACUAUGUGGGCAGUUGUUGUGACUGAGGGUUGCCGGAAAAUCAAGCUGCAGUAUUUUGGUUUUAAACUUGCUUCAGCUGCAAGAGAAGAUUCUCCAAUUAUUGAGGUGGAGCCUUACAUCCCGUUCAACAUAAAUCCUUCAGGGAUGCAGCCUGUUCUCACAACUUCUUACCUAUUGGCUUUUCCCGGCAUCCUAGCAAGCCUUCUUGGUUCACGCUUUUGGGAAAAUGUGAGAAAUACCCUGAAUCCUGAAACUUCUCUUGGUGCUGAGCCAUGGGUUUAUUACACAAUUUAUGCGUUCUUUGUGUUCCUCUUCAAUAUAUUUGACAUUGCAAACAUGCCCAAGGAAAUAGCUGAUUAUUUGAACAAGAUGGGGGCCAGAAUUCCACAUAUAAAGCCUGGAAAGGCUACCAUUGAAUAUCUGACAAAAGUUCAAGCUUCAACACGUUUUUGGGGUCGCAUGCUGAACACCUGCAGGUGGUUUAUUGUUAAGUAUUUUGGCCACCACAUCUACAAUACUUGAUCAUUAUUUACGCCGCAUCAAUGAGGGAUUUGCAAUAGGUUUCACGUCAGUUUUGAUAAUAGUGGGUUCAAUCAUUGAACUCAGAAGAUCUUAUCAAGCUUAUAAUGUGAUGCCAAGUCUGAGCAAUGCAUUAAGGCGUUAUGGUGUUUAACAUCUUCACAUGCUGGCUAAACUCUCUCAGAACUCCCUCCAUGAUAUAUUUUGGUGGAAAGUGUGGUAUUUGCAAAAGAUCUUUGAUCCAUGGUUCACUGGAGAUUGAAGAAGCAGUUGGUCUUCGUAGAGGUCUGGUCAUUUUUUGGGGGAACAAGACGAACUAUUCAGAGCUGACUCGGUAUGCAAAGCAUUUGAAGUCUAGAGCCACAAUGACAGGAGGCACUUGCUUCAACGCUGGAAAAGGAAGUUCUUGCUCCGCUCCUUUCCUUGCCAUGAAAACAGCAAAUCUCUUGGCUUAAUGGUUUGCAUGUUUAAGAGCGAUUUUCUGCAGAUUAGAGAUCAGGAACCUGCUAUCUGAAAUGAUUGGUGCAUGCUCAUGAAUUGAUGGAUCUCCUUAUUUGUACCCACAGGAAAAAUGACUAUGAAUUUGUGGAUUCAAUCAAGUCAGUGGUAAUAGCAUCUCCAGAACUUGCAUAGCUGCAAGGAAGCUUGGUCGUCCGUCCUAUGGAAAAGUCUGUUUAACUGGCUGAUUCUAGGGUUGCUACACAGUUGUAAACCUGCAUGUUUAAUGUGUAGACGGUAGAUGUAUGUUAUCGUAAUAGCAAGGCCUAGUUGCAGAA